UGAAAUCUAUAUUUCCUUCUCCAAAAGCUUUGACACAUCAUUUUGUAUAUCUUCCUGCUUUUGCUAUCCUGUUUAAUUCGCUAGUUUGUAGGAUGCCGACACAAAAGUAUAAUGAACUACAUACUUGUGUAUAACACGAUUAAAUGUUUGCGCAAAAAGCUCCAGGUCAAGUUAGUUGUGUUCUUUACAGUUUGGCAAUUUUGCAAUGGAAAGUCCGUUUUUGUUUUACGUUUUUAUGAUCGGUCUUGUGUGUUCCUCUUAUGCCGAUGUAUGUUCCGGCGACCAGUGUCAAGGUGUAAUAUCCAUGCCAUUACUUGGUGACAUGAAAGCUACAUUGAAAGCAGACUUGGACAUCACUAAUAUGAACAAUCAUCUUCGAGCUUACAUUCAACAAGAAAUCCAGAAAGGUGUUGAAGUUGCAAUGAGAGCUGAAAUGAAGAAACUUGUGAAUGAAGGUCUAGACAAAAUCAGCAGUACAGUCGAAGCUACUGUGGACAAAAAAGUGACAACUGGUAUCUCAUACAUCCAAUGGGGAAAGAUAAAUUGCACCAAAGAUAAUGCAGAACUGAUUUAUUCCGAUCCAUUCACAGUGUCUAAACUACCCCGACAAAAAAUAUUUGGACUCAAUAGUAUCUAAUAUCCGGUACGGUGACGGACUAUCAACAAACAGAGAAAAGGUUUGGUUGGUGGAUCUUCAUAUACGGGUGGUGGCUCUCCAAAUAAGCUCUGUGUUCCGAGUGAACCACAGUGGGGUAUUUAUGAUGACAAAGUAAACAAAAGUCCUUUCAUCGGUGCUACUUUGUUCGAUAACUGGGACAUUAACAUCAAGAAUACACUUUUUGAUAAAAAAUACACGUAUUAUGUCAUUCAGUGUGCUGUUUGUCAUGUGACAAAAGCAACGUCCACGAUCAUGAUACCGGGAAGGCAAACAUGCUUUAAAAAUUGGAAAAUGGAAUACCGUGGUUACCUAAUGGCUGGUUAUCCUGAUCAUAAAGCUGCUUCGGAAUAUAUCUGUGUUGAUGGAAACCCUGAUCAUAUCACGAGAGUACCUAGCUGGACUGACAAAUCUAUAUUGUACUCCGUUUAUUCAAAAUGUAACGGAGCGACCCCUUGUCCACCCUACGUCAAUGGUAGGGAGAUGACAUGUGUAGUUUGUUCCAGAUGAACACGAUCAGAUCUGAUAUAUUUUUUUCUGUCAAUGAUUUACAAAAACAAAUAUUAAUUAUUAUUCCAACAUAUAAUCAACUCCUUCAGGAAUUAAAUUAUCCAAUGUAUUUUUCAGCAGGUGAAUUUUGCACAAAAGUACCAAGUAACCAUGAGUUCAAAACUUUAUCAAAGUCUGAGCACGAGUUUAAAAGUCAUGAAUUUUGUAUUGACAACUGGUGCGAAUCAGUUUACAUAUCCAGCAAAUAAACAUAUUCAUUGUCCAUGUUACUAAAGGGACUUCUAUACAUUUUCUGAUGUAAUAAAACAUAAAUAACUGGAUGUAGGCACAUAGAACAAAAAAGAAAAGUAACAAAAAAAGAAAUAAAACAGCAAAUGUUUUUAUUCCAAUGACACGUGUAUUUACUUUACCACUAGUAACUCUUAUCAAAAUAUGAAAAAUAACUACUUAAAUUUACAUUGAUCAUAAACAAUCAUGCAAAACAAGUGACGAUGAGAAACAACGAUUUUAGAUUUGAUAAAGAGAAGAACAAUCUAAUUGUCCAAUAGAGAGCAAACCGAAUUAAAAAAAUAUUAUCUUCCUUUUUUGUACAGCAAAAAGGAUUAACAAAAAUACCGAACUCAAGGUUAAUUCAAAAAGGCAUAAGUUCAUAAAAACUGGCAAAAUCAAACGUUAGACUACAUCAACUAACGGAACGAAUGGACAACAACUGUCAUAUUCCUGACUUGGUAAAGGUAUUUUCGGAGUCGUUUUUUACACACUGCAUUAUUUUAAUUAAAUUAAAAACAGUAUAAUAUAUUGUCCGUAAAAGUAUAGCGUGAUCCAAAAUAUUACUAGAACUAAGUUGCAUAAAAAAUGAAAACAACACGUUAUAAAGUCCAUGCGUCCGAAGCGCUGUUCUUGAUUUACCUUCGCCAGGAACGAUCAAAGCCGAAUACUUGAAAGCCAAGGAUGUAUAAGGGGACAAUCAUUUGAUUCUGAGGGGGGCCUGGCAGAUUUUGGAAAUAAAUAUUCUGGCCCCCAUGUAGGUGAAAAUAAAUAAUCUUGCCUUAUCACCCAUGAAAAUAAAUAUCCUGGUUCCAGAUAUUCAAAAUGUUCAAAAUAGAUUUGACUCGCUUCGCUCGCCACAAAGAAAAAGGUUCCCUUUAGUUAGAUAAUCAAAAAAAGUUAUGUCCGUGACUGUAGUAACGUUUUGGAUUUCAAUGAGCCUAAUCUAUGUAUUACUGGUCAAUUACUAAGUCAGGGGUUUCGUUACAUGUACCACAAAUUACUUAAAACCUUUACUAAAUUCAUUCUUCCAUAGACACAUGAUAGAUACAAAGAUUUGGAUUGCAAGUUUGGCUGUAUAUUGUAUCUGCAGAAAACUUCUUAAUUUUUACGUUGAUGUCUUUCACCGAGCACGGACAUUUAGAUACGAUUCGGGUAAACUCACCAAUCCUUAAAAUAAACUUAUUAUUAAAGGUUACCAAUUCAAGACUGUAAUUAGAACUUUGAAUAUUGUUUUAUUGGUACAUAAAUAUUGAAUUUGUUAUCAGUAAAUUAAAACCAAACUAAUAAAUAUCAUUGUUAUAUACAUUUGCACAUUCACGGUUCUACAAUCGGUCGAUACCUGUAAUUUGGCAUUGCACAAGGUCAUGUUUUCUCUGACUGUUAAUGACAUCUUUACAAUAAAUCCAUUGGAUGUAUA